AUUGAACGCUGGCGGCAGGCUUAACACAUGCAAGUCGAACGAGUGGCGGACGGGUGAGUAAUGCUUGGGAAUCUGGCUUAUGGAGGGGGCUAACGACGGGAAACUGUCGCUAAUACCGCGUACCAUAGGAUGAGCCCAAGUGGGAUUAGGUAGUUGGUGGGGUAAUGGCCUACCAAGCCGACGAUCUCUCGCUGGUCUGAGAGGAUGACCAGGCCCGCCGGGACGGAGACACGGCCCGGACUGCAACGGGAGGCAGCAGUGAGGAAUAUGGCGCGAAGGGGGCAACCUGACGCAGCAAUGCCGCGUGAAUGAAGAAGGCCUGCGGGUUGUAAAAUUCUGGCGGUAGCGAGGCGGUAACUACAGAAGAAGCACCGGCUAACUCCGUGCCAGCAGCCGCGGUAAUUC
rnacentral:rRNA from 1 species